AUCAAAGAGUGUGGGAACCUGGUGGUGUUGAGACAGACAGGGGAGACGAGAAGAAACAGCAACAAGUGAGGCUCAGAGAGAUGCAUCAACUCUGAUGGGUGGAGAGCACGGAUGCAGUACCUGGAGUAGGACGAUGCGCUGGGGAGACUGGAGGAGUAGGGCUGCCUGAAUCCACAAGGGGACAGGGCAGGGUAGACCGGCUGGCUCUGCCUGCCGUGGCACAGCAGAGGGAGAGACGGGAGCAGGAGGUGGAUUUUAGCUUUACAGGCCCCGGAUUCAUCUGACACUGCAGCUCAGACCUGAUGCCGUGAGAAAGGCUUUGAACGCAGGAGAAAGCACUGAGCUCUGCUACAACUGGCUCUGGGCCAUGGAUAUGACAGGCUGCAGAAAAUCAAAUCCAACCAGUGCAAUGGCAUUUGGAGAUGAGUUAUCACUUUCUUAAUGAGUCGACGGAGACAGACUUGCAGGCAACUUUCUCCUCUAGACUGCGGCGACAGUGUUACCCAGCAGAAAAGGGACCUCUAAUGAUCGGUCCUGAAGAAAGCUAAUUAAUGGUGUGUUUGUUUAUUUCCACCAGAACGUUCCACAAUUAACAACUUGUUUGUGACACUCGGGUAAUCGCCGGCAACAAAAAGUAUUGACACAUCGAGUCGGCAGGAAACGAGGCGACCACACAAGACAUAAAUCCUCUUUGAGGCGCAUUUCCUCCAGAGUUUGGUCUGCUCAAACAAUAGAUAGUACAGUUAGCUGAGGCCACAGCCAUAUUUGUCUGUCUUGUGGGAAAAAGUUAGCAGAAGAGAGAAAAAAAAUGUCGCGGUUUGAUAAGAGCAUUGUUAAGAGGACACAAGGACUUGAUGUGGAGAGAGGGGCGACAGUGUUUGCAUUUAUUCUCCGACCAGGAGUGCAAAAUGUCAAACUUCAAUAACUGUGUUUAUCUGACCUGAUUUAUCUGCAGACUGUGGUUGGGGGUGAAACUUUUAUCCAAUCAUCAAGAUGAAGGAAAAAAAACCCAACAACAACCAAAGUGACCUUUAACAAGAGUCUCCCGCCUGCUAAUAUAGGGAGGGGAGGAAGCGGCGGGCAGAUAUCUGGUCGACUGCCAUCCUGGCCGGAAGUUAUGUGCCAUGUUGAGAUGACUGAGCAAAUGUCUAUCGCUCAAUCAUUGUGAAACCUUUCCCUUUAUGGCCGCCGAGCAGCGCUUUCGCUAACCAGCUCAUCUUAAAAUACUGGAGCGUAUGCUCAAAAUGGGAAAUGCCGACGCACGUUGAGAAAAUAAAAACCCCUGCAGUGA